UACGAGGGGGCGAGCGUUGUUCGGAAUUGAUUGGGCGUAAAGGGCGCGUAGGCGGUUGCGGUAAGUCACCAUGUCGGAACCUACCUGGGCUUAACUCAGGGCCUGCAGGCGAAACUGCGUGUGCUGGAGUGUGGGAGAGGUGCGUGGAAUUCCCGGUGUAGCGGUGAAAUGACGUAGAUAUCGGGAGGAACGACCUGUGGCGGAAAGCGGACGUCG
rnacentral:rRNA from 1 species